rnacentral:lncRNA from 1 species
UCUGUCUGUCUUGUUGGUGUUCAUCGUCUAUGUACGGAUCUCUCCUCUCUCUAUGUAUAUACAUAUAUGGUUGGCUUAUUAAGUUUGCUACAUCAUACUUUCACCUAAAGCUUGAUUUAGGCUCCAAUUGUCAAGACUGGGUAGAAAGAAAGGGAGAAAGAAGUUAUAAUUGGGCUCCAAUUCUCACCAAUAUUUAAGGUGGAUACAUCACAACUCUAACACAGUCCUUGCAGAUUGACUUAUUGCAUCUAUAUCCUAUUAACACAAUGUGUCUGCUUGCUUUCGUAGCCACUACUUCUUGUAUUGUCGCCAUCCACGAUAUACUGUUGUAACUUGUAAAGUUUCUUUUCACCAUUUCCAUUGCCAUUGCCAUUGCAUUCAUUGUUUGGGACUCUAUGCUCUGAGACCUUGCACUCAGUCAUCAGUUUAUGAAGCAUUAUAUUUGGACUCAUCAUGAGUGGACUUGCGACAGAAACCAAAGAAAAUUAUGAUUGAACAGACAAUUCUGAAUCCCGUGGUAUGAUCAUAAUCAUAUGAUUGAAUCUACUGAUCGACACACAGAAACUAAAUGAAUCUCAUCAAGUGGGUCUCUCACUCUCAGCCAUGUCUUCCCCGAGGAGAUUUGCUUCCAAAAACUGCUCCUGCAGCAAUUCCAAUGUCAAUUACAUUUGUAACAUUAGUGGUGCAUGCAUGCAGUUAUAAUUAUAAGAGACAGAGUUAACUGCAUCAACUUCUUAUAUAGCAUUAUAAGCAAAACAUAUAAAGAAGGAAAUAUAUAUAAGUACCUUUACUGGGUUGAACAAGUAGUCGGCGGGCAGAGGAAAUCUGAGCACCGACUAAAAUUACCAUUAUCAGCAGCAGCAGCAGCAGCAGCAGCAGCAGAGUCUUGUUGAUGUUCAUAUCGAUCAGCUACCUUAUGUACUGAGAACUUCUCAGUGACAAGCACAAACAUUAUACGGUAUUAUAUAUGCGAUCCAUCUGUAUAAAAAAGUGCGAGAUUCCGCGUCUGAUCCAAUAGCCAUCGAUGAGGACUUGAGUUCCCAAAAUGACGAGUAGUCGUUAAUUUGACGGGACAGAGCAGGCCCAGCCGACCAACCCACCCACCACCACCCGCCUAAUUAUUAUUCAUUUAUUCCAUGGACUGCUGCUUUAUCACGUUGUAGUGCUACUCGUAUUUUUUUCCGACAAUCAAUCAGGAUUUAUAAAUGAAUAUAUAGGUGAUUUUAAGAUAGUAAUAAUUUUCGUAUAAUGUAUGAGUG